CCUGCAGUUCUGCAGGAAUAGUACAAUAGCAGCUAAAAGACAGGUUGAGUCAUGUUGUACAGUUUGGUUUGGGUUCUUUUUACACAGCAACAUCCUGGGAUUCACAGAGCAGUUGGUUGCAUGCUGUUUUCAAAAAGUUGCUUCUUGUUCUUUUUUUGAAAGUCAGAGAAUAAAGUCAAAUGAAAAAUUGAUGAGUACAAAUGUGCAGCAUAUGUAUUUGAAUUGAUGGCCUUUGCCUUUUGGUUUUAGAGUUAAUAUGUGUCAAGGCAGUGAUAAAAGUUGUGAUUCCUUCUCUCUGUGUUAGAAUCCUUCAAAACCAGCAGCUGGCCACUGAGAUCGAUAUGGAAGCGUUGGGAAGGCUGCUGCCUGCAGAGAUACUAACACUUCUGGAGGACCAGUACCUGAACACACAACAGGUUGAGCUGGAGACUUACAUCGGCCGUGUCCUGGAGGAAACAGAGGAAAAGUGGAAGAAAGGAGAGGAACC